rnacentral:rRNA from 1 species
UACGUAGGUGGCAAGCGUUGUCCGGAAUUACUGGGCGUAAAGAGCUCGUAGGCGGUUUGUCACGUCUGCUGUGAAAUCCCGAGGCUCAACCUCGGGCCUGCAGUGGGUACGGGCAGACUGGAGUGCGGUAGGGGAGAUUGGAAUUCCUGGUGUAGCGGUGGAAUGCGCAGAUAUCAGGAGGAACACCGAUGGCGAAGGCAGAUCUCUGGGCCGUAACUGACGCUGAGGAGCGAAAGCGUGGGGAGCGAACAGG